UCCUGUGUUAGGCUAAAACUUAUACCUACUGAUGCCUGCUUAACUGCUCUCAUUUAGUACUUUUAAUUAUUUACUGUUUGGUAAGUUGGUGUUGUGGGAGGAAACCUCACAAUUAUUGAUUGUAAAAGGCCAAUUGCUUUUACGCUCAUGUGACCAAAAAAUGUUUUUAUUUAACAUUUUAACCCUUCCAAAUAUGUGGAUUAGCCGAAGUAACAUAAGGUGACUGUUGUCAUGUCUUAAAUUUAGCAGUGUAUUUUGGAGAAAUUGUUAGCUGCUUGUAUGCUUUUAUUAAAAAAGAAAAGGGAGGGUUAUCAGAGUAGAAGAAAUAAACAAUGUGUUAAGGAUUUGUUAAGCCUCCUGGACUGUUAGGGAGUAUGGAAAGGAAUUAAAAGUAGUAAAAGGCUCUAGGAAGGAGCUGAACGAUUUCUUUGUGUUACUCUUCACCACAAAAGAUGUUGUGGACGUUUCUAUUCUUGUCAGAUAAUGUUGAUGGGGUAUUAUCUGGUUAUCUGAUGAGAGAAUGAAGUAUCAAAAGAUCAAGUGCUAGAAUAAAGUGAUAAAGACCCCUAAGCCUAAAUCAUGAGGGCUAGAUGAGAUUCAUUCUUUCAGUGGUUCUAAAGAAUGAAGUGGCUGAUCUGCUAACAAGAAUGGGCCUCAUAAGAUGAGAUGCUAUGUCAGAAGACUGGAAGCUAGCAAGUGUUGCGUAUACCAUACUUUUAAACUGAGCACAAGGAGCAGCCCUGGAAUUUGCAGAUGCACAAUCCAUAUGUUAAUGCCAAUAAUGGCAAUACAUUCAUUCUGCCAUUUGGAGGAGCCUGUGCCACAGAAUAAUGAUCUGAAGAAGGCUAACUUGCUUGCAAAGAGCCUUCAUUUGGGAAACAGUAGUGAUGCAGCAAAGAGGUGCUUUGUCAAGUUCAGCAGAACUAUUAUUGCACCUAGCACAAACUCCAGUACAUGGACAAAGCUGGUUUUCCUCAAAGAAUAAACAAAAUUGCAUAUCCGAAGAAUAAGAAGGUCUUUGACAUUCAGUGGGAUGAGAAUCUCAGAACAGACUGAUACUGGGGACUCCCAAGCUACAGUUCAG
rnacentral:lncRNA from 1 species